AGUUGUUCUCCAGCUCAGUGAUCUGAGCUGCGCAUGCGCUGGGAGGCGUGUGCGCGUGCCGUGUAUGUAAACUAGCGGCCUGUUUCAUUUGGUGACCGACGUAUGUGUUUUUCUGUCAAGAAAAAUCAGACUAUACAUACUGUAAACAUAAACAGCAGCCCUGCCCCGACGCGCCCCAACCCCAAGCGGAGCCGUCAUGUGGCAGGAGGCCCGCAAACAUGAGCGCAAACUGCGUGGGAUGAUGGUGGACUACAAGCGGCGUGGGGAGAGACGCAGAGAGUACUAUGAGAAAAUCAAAAAGGAUCCAGCUCAGUUCCUGCAGGUUCAUGGACGAGCGUACAAAAUCCACCUGGAUUCGGCUGUAGCCCUGGCAGCUGAGAGUCCCAUCAACAUGAUGCCUUGGCAAGGAGAUUCCAACAACAUGAUUGAUAGAUUUGAUGUCAGGGCACACCUGGACUACAUCCCCACCUAUACGCCACCUCUCCUGAACACUAUCACCCCAGAGCAGGAAUCAGAAGAGAGAAAAUGCAAUUAUGAGCGCUACAGAGGUCUCGUGCAGAAUGACUUUGCGAACAUCUCUGAGGAGCAGUGUUUGUACCAGAUCUAUGUGGAUGAACUCUACGGUGGCCUACAGAAACCAAAUGAAGACGAAAAGAAAAAACUCGCUGAGAAGAAAGCUCAGAUCGGUUAUACAUAUGAGGAUAGCACAGUGACCGAACCAGAUGAACAGACGGAGAAGGGAAAUGAGGAUGAUUCGGAAAACAGCGAGUCUGAGGAAGAUGAAGUCAUCCCUGACAUUGAUGUUGAGGUGGAUGUAGAUGAACUGAGCCCAGAGCAGGUGACGGAGAUUAACAAGAUGGGCACCACUUACGGCAUGGCAGAGGGGGACUUUGUAUGGAUGUUGAGGAAGGACAAGGAGGAAGUGGAGGCCAUUAAGCAUGCUAAAGCACUGGAAGCAGAGAAGGCCAUGUAUUCUGGCCGUCGGUCUCGCAGACAGCGAAGAGAGUUUAGAGAGAAGUAUAUGAAAGGCAGGCAGAUCAGCCCACCGAGCUAUGCCAGAAGAGACAGUCCUACAUACGACCCCUACAAACGGCCAGAGUCAGACUCAAGUUCAGAGUCACGCUCUCGUUCCCGAACACCAGGCAAUGAUAAGAUCACCUUCAUCACCAGCUUCGGUGGCAGUGAUGAAGAGGGAGCCACAGCCGCACAACCCCCACCUGCAGCGGCCUCAAGCCACACCUCCUCCAACACCGCAGGUCAUAGCAGGGGCUCCCGCCGAAGACGGUCUUCCUCCAGUCACUCAUCCUCUUCCUCCCGCUCCUCUUCGCACCGGUCCUCACGCUCAUCCUCACGUUCCCGCCGGAGUCGUCGCUCUCGCGGGGGCAGGGAUCGGGACGGCCGUUACUCCAGGUCUCGAUCACGCUCUCGUCGGCGGUCUGACUCCCGUUCACGGCAACGCAGUGGAGGAGUUGGCUCGAGGAGACGAUACGACAGGACGAGGUCUCGUUCCGCUGAUAGAGGUAGAGACAGAAACCGGGAAAGAGACCGAGAUCGGGAUAGGGGGAGGCGCUACACGGGCCGCAGACGAACCAGGUCUCGCUCGCGUUCACGUUCGGGUGAUCGAUACCGGCGACGGAGUCGCAGCUCUGCGUACAGAAGGGGUGGCAGCGUCAGUCAAAGCCCCUCCCACUCACCUGCUGCCAGCCAUAGCCCCUCCCCCUCCUCCCAUUCUGCUCUGCCUGCCUCUGCUUCUGCAGACAGAUUGAGAAAGCCUGAAACUCCGGGUGGUAAAGAGACUGGAGCUGCCAAAGUCACCCAAGAUGACCCCUCAAGAGAAGCUCAAACUCCGAAUGCAGAAGGCCCUAAACAAACAAUCCAAGGCGGAUAAGAAGGCAGCACAAGCCAAGAUCCAGCAACAAGAGCACAAGCGGCAGGAACGAGAAGGAGUUCUUCGCGCAAUGGCACGGAAAAUACGCAUGAAGGAGCGGGAACGGCGGGAAAAGGAAAGGGAUGAAUGGGAGAGGCAGUACGGACGUCAGAGUCACUCGCCCUCCCCCAACGCCAAAUACGGUCGAGACUACGGCUCAUCUAGAAGGAGGUCACGCUCAAGAUCACGGAGUCCUCAUUACCGGUACUGAAGAGUCAGCUGAUAAAACACAACAAGACAUGUCAAACGGAUGUUUUAGGAGUGAAUGGUGACCACAAUGGCAAGAGAGUUUACAUGCAAGUUUGGGAAAUAUUACCAAUAAAAUUCACUUCACUCAAUUUAGCUUUGUACAUCUUCUGAAGGUUGCAAUGGAAACAAAUAAACUCAUUUCUAAAAUGUGAAAAUUAA